UUCCGUCCCCGGGGAUUCCGCAGCUCGGCACGGUCUGACCGGGGCCGCUCCGCCACCCUUUGUGCUGCAGGCUGCUUUAACCCCUUCUGCGCCCUUCAGAGUUGCAGCAGAGGCUUGCGGGGAAUAAUCCCAGCUGGUCCAGAUUAUUAUUUAUCGCUAAUUUUGCAAAAGAAAUUUACUUGUCUGAUUGCCUUUUCAUCCACACAUUGUCCUUAUCUGCACAGCAUCUUGUUCUGACCUCCCUUCCUUCUCAUCCCAUGUCUCUUUCUAGCAGCCACAAAAAAAAUCCUUGCCUGUGAUUCCUGCCCUUUUGUUUGGAUUAAGCAGCUAUUAUUCCCCUUGUUUGAAUACCAUUUCUGCAAAGUGUUAAACUUGUUGAUCCAACCUAGUGCCUAUAGUGAUGAACCUAGAUGUCACUUCUGUGGAGGAGCUGCUUAAUCUUUUCUGAAUUGUGGCCAUUCCAGUCUUCUCUGAAAUUAAGAAAAGGCUCCUUUAAAUUUAAUUAAAAUGGCCAACGAAGAAAAAAGAUCCAAAGGAGGGAAAGGUUUCAAAGUGAACCUCAUCAAAGAUCCAGCACAAGAGAUGGGUCUUGUUACUGCUCCAGCAGCCUCAA